rnacentral:rRNA from 1 species
GGAGCCUGGGGUACCCUGGUGGCGAGUGGCGAACUGGGUGAGUAAUAUAUCGGAACAUGUCCUGUAGCGGGGGAUAACGCGUCGAACAGAUGUGCUAAUACCGCAUACGCUCUACGGAGGAAAGCGGGGUCGCAAGACCUCGCACUAUAGGGGUGGCCGAUAUCGGAUUAGCUAGUUGGCGGGGUAAAAGCCCACCAAGGCGACGAUCCGUAGCUGGUCUGAGAGGAUGAUCAGCCACACUGGAACUGAGACACGGUCCUGACUCCUACGGGAGGCAGCAGUGGGGAAUUUUGGACAAUGGGCGCAAGCCUGAUCCAGCCAUGCCGCGUGAGUGAAGAAGGCCUUCGGGUUGUAAAGGCUCUUUCGGCAGGAACGAAAUGGUUCGUGCUAAUACCACGGAUCGAUGACGGUACCUGAAGAAGAAGCACCGGCUAACUACGUGCCAGCAGCCGGGGUAAUACGUAGGGUGCAGGCGUAAUCGGAAUUACUGGGCGUAAAGCGUGCGCAGGCG